UGGGGAAUUUUCCGCAAUGGGCGAAAGCCUGACGAGCAAUGCCGCGUGGAGGUGGAAGGCCUACGGGUCGUCAACUUCUUUUCUCGGAGAAGAAACAAUGACGGUAUCUGAGGAAUAAGCAUCGGCUAACUCUGUGCCAG
rnacentral:rRNA from 1 species